ACUUUUUGAGCCGGGUGUUUUCCAUGUAAAAAUCGUUGUGUUCUUUACUUUCUGUUUUACUGCUUCCUUAGAACACGUCAGGUAAUCCGUUCCAUCAAUAGGCAAUAGUUAAGCGAAAAUAAGAUAAUCAGUAGGCAUAAAUUCGUAAUACAAAGGUAUGUUAUUGUAGUUUUUAUCAAUAUUGAGUGUAAACCAUUCCUCACUCGUGAUUCCCGAGUAAGUUGAAACCUUAACUAUGUCGAGUGGAAAUGAGAACGAUAUCUACAUUGGCCAAUUAUGAGAAGACGAGUAGAUUUAUCCUUGCAAAUAUUUUUGUGAAUAUAAUAUAUGAAAAUGAUCAACCAUAAAUUUUUAACUAGUGCCAGCUGUUUGAUAAGGAUAUAUUAAAUAGAGACGUAUCAUGUGUCUUGAUAAGCUACAAGGACUUUUGAGUUAUCUUUACAAAGUGAGCUUGUAUUAUAAGCCAUACACUGGAAGUGUUUUUUUUGGUCAAGCUAUAAACCAAAAGCUCUCUUACCCUUGUUGAAUAAUUAUAAAAUUAGUAUUACUACUUUCUUAAAGUGCAAGGCUAGAAAAAAAGUAGAAACAUGGAUGCACCUCAAUAUCAAGAGAUGUCUUACGUUGAUCAUGUGAAACGUCGUCACGAGGAAAAAGGAUGCCUUUAUGCUUGUUUGUUCGCAGCGUGUUGCUGCUUCUGUUGCUUCGAGGCCUGCGAAUGCUGUCUGGACAUGCUCUGCUGCUGUUGAUGUCCCUCCUAGACAUGCCAAGCCAACCCUAUGUAUGUUGCUCUAUGUUAGCAGCAAAGCUGAAAUUGGAUUUGUUCCCCUGUUUUUCUACUCUUUUGUUUCUUCUGUUACCUCCCACUGUAUAUUUCAAACUGUGAAGUUGAAUAAACUUGUUAUGUAAUGAA